CACGUAGGGCGCAAGCGUUGUCCGGAAUUAUUGGGCGUAAAGAGCUCGUAGGCGGCUUGUCGCGUCGACCGUGAAAACUUGGGGCUCAACCCCAAGCCUGCGGUCGAUACGGGCAGGCUAGAGUUCGGUAGGGGAGACUGGAAUUCCUGGUGUAGCGGUGAAAUGCGCAGAUAUCAGGAGGAACACCGGUGGCGAAGGCGGGUCUCUGGGCCGAUACUGACGCUGAGGAGCGAAAGCGUGGGGAGCGAACAGG
rnacentral:rRNA from 1 species